ACAUAUCAUUGUUAUCUAUCAUCGUUGCUAUUGCUACAUAUCAUUGCUAGCUAUCAUCGCUAUAUUAUCAUCACUAUAUAUCAUCACUAUAUAUCAUUGCUAGCUAUCAUUGCUAGCUAUCAUCAAUAGGUAUUAUUGCUAUAUAUCAUCGCUAUUGCUAGCUAUCAUUGCUAUAUAUCAUCACUAUACUUCAUUGCUAUAUAUCAUUGUUGCUAUUGCUAUACAUCAUCACUAUAUAUCAUCACUACAUAUCAUUGCUAUAUAUCAUUGCUAUUGCUACAUAUCAUUGUUAUCUAUCAUUGCUGUCACUAUAUAUCAUUGCUAUUGCUACAUAUCAUUGCUAUACAUCAUCACUAUAUAUCAUCACUACAUAUCAUUGCUAGCUAUCAUUGCUAUAUAUAAUUGCCAGCUAUCAUUGCUAUAUAUCAUUGCUAGCUAUCAUCACUAUAUAUCAUUGCUAGCUAUCAUUCAUUCAAACAGAUGAGCAGGUAAAUAGACAGAUAGACAGCCAGAUAACCAUUUAAUAAAUCAGUAUUAUCAGAUAGAUAAAUAGCUAGAUGAUGAUGUUUAUUCUUAUAGAGAUUGAUUGAAUAUUAAGCAGUUAUAUUGAUUGAAAGAUAGAGAGAUGAAUAGAUAGUUAGCUAUUCAGCUAGCACUCUCAAUUCUAUCAACAAUUGACUAAAUAUUAUAUAGAUCAAUAGAUAGAUAGCUAGCAUUCUCUUUCAUCAAUAAUUAAUUUAAUAUCAAAUAGAUAAAAAAUAAAAGCUAUC
rnacentral:sRNA from 1 species